ACUGCUCAGUAACACGUGGACAACCUGCCCUUAGGUUGGGUAUAAACCCGGGAAACUGGGUAUAAUACCCGAUAGGUCUCGAUUGCUGGAAUGCAUCGAGAUUUAAAGCUCCGGCGCCUAAGGAUGGGUCUGCGGCCUAUCAGGUAGUAGUGGGUGUAGCGUACCUACUAGCCUACGACGGGUACGGGUUGUGAGAGCAAGAGCCCGGAGAUGGAUUCUGAGACACGAAUCCAGGCCCUACGGGGUGCAGCAGGCGCGAAAACUUUACAAUGCUGGCAACAGCGAUAAGGGAACCUCGAGUGCCAGGUUACAAAUCUGGCUGUCGAGAUGCCUAAAAAGCAUUUCAUAGCAAGGGCCGGGCAAGACCGGUGCCAGCCGCCGCGGUAACACCGGCGGCUCGAGUGGUAACCGUUAUUAUUGGGUCUAAAGGGUCUGUAGCCGGCCGGAUAAGUCUCUUGAGAAAUCUGGCAGCUUAACUGUCAGGCUUUCAGGAGAUACUGUCUGGCUCGAGGCCGGGAGAGGUGAGAGGUACUUCAGGGGUAGGGGUGAAAUCUUGUAAUCCUUGAAGGACCACCAGUGGCGAAGGCGUCUCACCAGAACGGACCUGACGGCAAGGGACGAAAGCUAGGGGCACGAACCGGAUUAGAUACCCGGGUAGUCCCAGCCGUAAACGAUACUCGCUAGGUGUCGGCCACGGUGCGACCGUUGUCGGUGCCGUAGGGAAGCCGUGAAGCGAGCCACCUGGGAAGUACGGCCGCAAGGCUGAAACUUAAAGGAAUUGGCGGGGGAGCAC
rnacentral:rRNA from 1 species